UGAUAAUUAGUUUAAACCAAAACAAAUGAUUUCGACUCAUUAGAU
rnacentral:tRNA from 1 species